rnacentral:pre_miRNA from 2 species
GUUCAGGUGGAUGAUGCUUGGCUCGAGACCAUUAAAUAUGAUCAUUGUGAUGUUGAUAAUGAUGAUGAUAAUGAAAAUGAUGUCGGACCAGGCUUCAUUCCCCUCAAC